rnacentral:rRNA from 1 species
GCCCCAUCUCGCCCCAUCUUGCCCCAUCUCGCCUGACCUCGGCAGCUAAUGAGGGCCGGGCUGGGUUCAUAUUCAGAUGGGAGACUGCCUGGGAACACUGGAUGUCCUAGGCA